GGUGAGGUGGCCGAGUGGUUGAAGGCGCACGCUUGGAAAGCGUGUUUAGGUGAAAGCCUAACGUGGGUUCGAAUCCCACUCUCACCGCCA
rnacentral:tRNA from 1 species